AUAAAUCACUCAUUCCGCAAAUACUUAGCGGAAAAUUUAUACUUAAGCGCCAAAGACAUUAUUUAAGCGGCUUCAGUAAUGCUUUCAAAAACAUAUAAUAGCAUUUUUCUAAUGCUAAGAAAAACCAUUUUCAAACAUUAUAUUUCAAACACUAUAACUCUAAACUUAAAAUACAUAUCAAAUCAUAAACUCUUUUUUAUAUUUAAACACAAUUUGUAAUUUCCAAAAUUCUUUAAUUUUAUAACUUUAACUUUAUAACUAAGUCUUAACAUUUAUAUUUAAUAAUUUAUUUUAACAUUUAUAAUCCGUAUAUUAAAAAUUUAAAUUCCAAACCCUAUAUCUAAACUCCAAACCUAUUCCACAAACCCCAAAUAUACUUUAAACCCUAUGUACAGUACCAAAAAUUGAAAUCUACACUGUAAAACUAAUAUUUUCUAAGUUAAAGACCAAAUCUUAACAUACAAAUCAUAAACACUAC
rnacentral:lncRNA from 1 species